rnacentral:misc_RNA from 1 species
AAAAUGAGUCCGAAAGACCUAAAACCUACCGUGCUCCCCUACGUGGACAACAGGAAAGCCCUCCGGGGCAUAGGAAAUCUGAGAAGUUGAAGAACUGCGCCCCGGCGCAUGACUAAAACAAAAAUUA